rnacentral:rRNA from 1 species
AGCGAACGCUGGCGGCAGGCUUAACACAUGCAAGUCGAGCGGGCAUCCUUGUGGUGUCAGCGGCAGACGGGUGAGUAACGCGUGGGAACGUGCCCUUCGGUUCGGAAUAACUCAGGGAAACUUGAGCUAAUACCGGAUACGUGCGAGAGCAGAAAGGUUUAUCUGCCGAAGGAUCGGCCCGCGUCUGAUUAGCUAGUUGGUGAGGUUAUGGCUCACCAAGGCGACGAUCGGUAGCUGGUCUGAGAGGAUGAUCAGCCACACUGGGACUGAGACACGGCCCAGACUCCUACGGGAGGCAGCAGUGGGGAAUAUUGGACAAUGGGGGCAACCCUGAUCCAGCCAUGCCGCGUGAGUGAUGACGGCCUUAGGGUUGUAAAGCUCUUUUCUCCGGGACGAUAAUGACGGUACCGGAGGAAUAAGCCCCGGCUAACUUCGUG